UGGGGAAUCUUGCACAAUGGGCGAAAGCCUGAUGCAGCAACGCCGCGUGCGGGAAGAAGGCCCUAGGGUUGUAAACCGCUUUCAGCAGGGAAGAAGAUGACGGUACCUGUAGAAGAAGGUGCGGCCAACUACGUGCCAGCAGCCGCGGUGACACGUAGGCACCAAGCGUUGUCCGGAUUUAUUGGGCGUAAAGAGCUCGUGGGCGGUUCGGUAAGUCGGGUGUGAAAACUCUGGGCUCAACCCAGAGCCGCCACCCGAUACUGCUGUGACUUGAGUUCGGUAGGGGAGCGGGGAAUUCCUGGUGUAGCGGUGAAAUGCGCAGAUAUCAGGAGGAACACCAGUGGCGAAGGCGCCGCUCUGGGCCGAGACUGACGCUGAGGAGCGAAAGCGUGGGUAGCAAACAGGAUUAGAUACCCUGGUAGUCCACGCCGUAAACGUUGGGCACUAGGUGUGGGUCUCAACCAACGAGAUCCGCGCCGUCGCUAACGCAUUAAGUGCCCCGCCUGGGGAGUACGGUCACAAGACUAA
rnacentral:rRNA from 1 species